UUUCUUCCCCUUCGGCUCUGCACAGAGUUAUUAUCAUUUACCCUUAGUAAUAAGUAAAUAAAAAAGCGAGUGUUGUGAAAUACUGCUUUGGGGAGAAUGAUCAGUUGCGGUCGUUCCUUAAACCUACUCUUUUUACUCCCAUCUACUUUCCGUAGAAAUCAAUUGACAAGAGAAUUAAUGUUUAAGAAGGAACUGCAGAUGCUGGAAAAAUCGACGGUAGACAAAAAUGCUGGAGAAACUCAGCGGGAGCCGCUGACUGUGGUGAAUAUGUACAACAUUGAAGCAGUCGCUGGACGAAUAUGUUGCAGCAUUUCUCUACACCAUCACAUAUGUUAAAACAAUAGGAACAAAUAAUAUUAACGGGCUCGCAAAAAUCACACGAAUAAAGUCGCUUAAAAACCAA